CCUACGGGUGGCAGCAGUGGGGAAUAUUGGACAAUGGGCGAGAGCCUGAUCCAGCGACGCCGCGUGAGGGAAGAAGGAACUCGGUAUGUUAAGCUCUAUUAGUAGGGAAGAAAAUAAUGGUACUUGAGUAAGAAUCACCGGCUAAGUACGUGACAGCAGCCGCGGGAAUACGCAGGGGGCCAGCGUGAUCCGGAUGAACUGGGUGUAAAGGGAGCGUAGUCGGCAGUGCAAGUCAGGAGUGAAAGGCGGGGGCUCAACCCCCGGACUGCUGUUGAAACUGGAAGGCUGGAGUGCAGGAGAGGUAAGUGGAAUUCGGGGUGUAGCGGUGAAAUGCGUAGAUAUUAGGAGGAACACCAGUGGCGAAGGCGGCUUGCUGGACUGUAACUGACGCUGAGGCUCGAAAGCGUGGGUAGCAAACAGGAUUAGAUACCCUAGUAGUC
rnacentral:rRNA from 1 species